UAACAAGGAUUCCCCUAGUAACUGCGAGUGAAGCGGGAAAAGCUCAAAUUUAAAAUCUGGCAGCCUUGCCGUCCGAGUUGUAAUCUGGAGAAGCGUUUUCCGCGCCGGACCGUGUACAAGUCUCUUGGAACAGAGUGUCAUAGAGGGUGAGAAUCCCGUCCAUGACACGGACUCCCGGUGCUUUGUGAUACGCUCUCGAAGAGUCGAGUUGUUUGGGAAUGCAGCUCAAAAUGGGUGGUAAGCUCCAUCUAAAGCUAAAUAUUGGCGAGAGACCGAUAGCGAACAAGUACCGUGAGGGAAAGAUGAAAAGCACUUUGGAAAGAGAGUUAAACAGUACGUGAAAUUGUUGAAAGGGAAACGCUUGAAGUCAGUCGCGUCUUACUUGACUCAGCCUUGCUUUGGCUUGGUGUAUUUCAAGUAGGAUGGGUCAACAUCGAUUUUGACCGGCGGACAAGGGGAGAAGGAAUGUGGUACUCUUUGGGGUGUGUUAUAGCCUUCUCUCAUAUACGUCGGUUGGGAUUGAAGCUCGCAGUGUGCCCUUGUGGCCGGAAGUUUGCCUCACGUAACGCGCUUAGGAUGUUGGCAUAAUGGCUUUAAGCGACCCGUCUUGAAACACGGACCAAGGAGUCUAACAUGCUCGCGAGUGUUAGGGUGGAAAACCCUUGCGCAUAAUGAAAGUGAAAGUUGAGAACCUCCGCAAGGGGGUGCAUCGACGCCCGGCCCUGAAGUUUACGGACGGUGCUGCGGUAGAGCGCGUAUGUUGGGACCCGAAAGAUGGUGAACUAUGCCUGAAUAGGGCGAAGCCAGAGGAAACUCUGGUGGAGGCUCGUAGCGAUUCUGACGUGCAAAUCGAUCGUCAAAUUUGGG
rnacentral:rRNA from 1 species